rnacentral:rRNA from 1 species
UACGAAGGGGGCGAGCGUUGUUCGGAUUUACUGGGCGUAAAGGGCGCGCAGGCGGUUCUGUUUGUCGAGUGUGAAAGCCCCGGGCUCAACCUGGGAACUGCGCUCGAAACGGCGGAACUAGAGUUCGGGAGAGGAGAGUGGAAUUCCCAGUGUAGAGGUGAAAUUCGUAGAUAUUGGGAAGAACACCGGUGGCGAAGGCGGCUCUCUGGACCGGUACUGACGCUGAGGCGCGAAAGCGUGGGGAGCAAACAGG